CGCUGGCGGCGUGCCUAAUACAUGCAAGUCGAACGGUCUUUCUAUGGAAGCUUGCUUCCACUGAGAAGAUAGUGGCGAACGGGUGAGUAACACGUGGGUAACCUGCCCAUAAGAGGGGGAUAACAUCCGGAAACGGGUGCUAAUACCGCAUAGUUUUCUUGAUCGCAUGAUUGAGAAAGGAAAGACGGCCUUUGUGCUGUCGCUUAUGGAUGGACCCGCGGCGUAUUAGUUAGUUGGUGAGGUAAUGGCUCACCAAGACGAUGAUACGUAGCCGACCUGAGAGGGUGAUCGGCCACAUUGGGACUGAGACACGGCCCAAACUCCUACGGGAGGCAGCAGUAGGGAAUCUUCCGCAAUGGACGAAAGUCUGACGGAGCAACGCCGCGUGAGUGAAGAAGGUUUUCGGAAUCGUAAAACUCUGUUGUCAGAGAAGAACAAGUUGGAGAGUAACUGCUCCAGCCUUGACGGUAUCUGACCAGAAAGCCACGGCUAACUACGUGCCAGCAGCAGC
rnacentral:rRNA from 1 species